rnacentral:tRNA from 1 species
GCCCGCCUAGCUCAAUCGGAUAGAGCGUCAGACUCUUAUGAGUGCGGGUGAACAGAUCACUGCAAUCUGAAGGCUGCGAGUUCGACCCUCGCGGUGGGCU